GAAUAUUAAAUAAAAAGGAAAGGAAUCAUAAAAUAAAACCCUAGGAUGCAAAAAAGUGUAUACCAACAUUAACCACAUAAGAAAAAGAACCUAGGUCUAGCAGCCUCAUUUCUUUUAAGAAAAACUCUCUGAAAUGUUCAGUGAGAGUUUUUGUUCGUUCGUUCGCAACAGGGUGGACUACAUAGAGACCGGGACGAUUCUGUUGUGGCUUUAGAUCGGCAAUGUACGAAGGGGAUUAAAACAACAGUGGUUCCUUCCUAUUUUUUAGAGUACAAAAGGUAUAUUUUUCAAACCUUUUCUUCUUGGUUUGUUCCUCGUGUAUGGAUUCCUAGUUUAGAUCGCCGGAAUAAUUUUUUCGUUGCGCCACGGGGUGUCCCAAUGACCCAACAUUAUAAUAUGUGAAUAUCUGUCAAUAAGAUAAGACAUAGAAUAAUUUUGUGAGAUCUGUAAUAAGUAAGACUGAGAUAAAGUGUUGAUAUGCUUAGGAUUAAGAGUUGAACAAGACUUGUGAUAUAAUCGAAUAAGUUAUUGAAAAGAAUUGUGUAUAUGCAUGACAAUAAAGGUCUUCACCAUGAUGAUUUGAAAAUGUUGGAUAUAUAUUUGAUUCUAUGUGAGAUUUAAGGAUCUGUCAUUGAGAGUUACUUGGAAUCUAUCAUAUCAAGGUAGUCUAGGAAUUAAUGAUCUCUCGUGAAAUCAUAUGAAAUCUGGGAUCUGGGUAUUCUGGGUAUCUGUAUUUUUGAAAGAAAUUGAUAUAGAACUCAUUUGAAUGGUUUAUGCAGUGAUUUAUCUAUAUGAGUAUGUCGUACUGAAUCUGGAUAUGUCAAAGUGUGAAAUUGAUGGUAUUUAGUUCUAUGUAAGUAUUCGCCAAACAUAUAUGUAUCUGCCCCUAAUAAAUGUUUGUGACCAAUUGUUUGAGAUAAGUGUUUGUGUUCAAGCAUGGGUUGUUAAAAGUGGACUCUAAGGAUAUGUUCUGUUGAGAAAUAUAUGUGUGUUAAAGAGACGUAAGAAAAUGUUUGAAAUGAUCGACAAUUAGUUAGAUAAGGAAGAUAUGAGUAUGAUAAGGGCAUGAUAAUUGGUGUAUAAGUGUAUGUUAAAAAUGUAGUGAUAUCCACCAGAAAUAAAUGGUUCAAAAGAAUGGUCGGCGCGCAAUAAUUCAUACAAGAAUAGAAAAUAUCCAUUAAGAUAUCUUUGUAAUUAAGCUCACUAAGUUCUCUUGAACUUACAAUGUUUGUUAUUGUUUUAGGUGUAUGGUAUGGGUUUGCGCCAAGAGGGACGAUGCCAGGUGUAUGCCAAGAUUGUGGCAAAGUGGGCUAUUAUGCAUAGAGUGGAUAUGUGUUGUAGUCUGUCGUCAUUAAUUCUUUGUUGUAAACUUAUUUAUCAAUUUUAUUGUAACAAGUUAUUGCAUAGCACCUCCUUUAUUUUCAUGUCACUGUUGUUAAUUAAAAUAAUCAGAGAAAUGAUAGUUUGUAAAUUGUUUGUUAAAUUGUUAAGUAUUGUGUGUAGUAAUACCCGAGAUCCGGACCCAAUGAAUCGGGUUAGGUUGAGGGCGUUACAUUCUCAUUGGGGUAAGUCAUUUCGGUUUUUUAGCAAUCUGAAAAUCUAAAGAUAAAAAAUUUGUCCAUGUUCACCGC
rnacentral:lncRNA from 1 species